UGUUCUUGCAAUGUGAGGGGAAAAGUAUUUCUGAUUAUGGCAAAAGGAAGAAAGGAGUAAGGGAACAAACCAUAAAGCAAUUGAUUUAUAUGCCAUCUAUAAGGAAAUAUAGUGAAUACUAGCAGUCAUCAUGGAUUUGUUGAGAACAAGGCAGAAAACCAUCUUAAUUCCUGGUUCUGGGGAACAUACCAUAACAAUCCCAUAAUCUUUCAAAGACCUUGUUCGGGAGUGAUGGGAAUUGCAAUCCAACACAUGUGGAGGGCACCAUAUGGAGAAAACCUGAUCUGAGGGCCUGCUGAACACCAUUAGAUGACGCUGGAUUGACUGAGCCCUGAUUUCUUCCAAAGUGGAGGGGAAGCGUUGCAAGAUAUUUCCUAUGUUAUGACUGAGAAAUCCCGCAUCACCCAGUAUCCUGCUCUGGAGAAUUUUCACAGCUUCUAUAAACAGGAAUAACACUGGGCAAUAGAAACUUGCUAUCAUGCCCAGCCAUGUGAGAAAGAUGAAAGAUAAACCAGAUGGAGAAAUCACAGCAGAUGUAUCACGACCAGCCAAGUCCUCUUUUGACUCUGCAAGUCAGAUCAGAUUCAAGGCAAGAAGAGGAGCUGAAGGAAAGUAUCUCUAACCCUAGAGAAAGUUGGAGGCUCAGACAUCUGGCUUAAACCAUUAAUCACAGAUGGAGUCAGAGGCUGCAGUCAAGGCACUGGGAAAAAUACAGCUGUAGAACACUCUUCUUAAAUACUUCCUAGGAUCUGGAUGCUGGCUGAAUGUAUUGCCAAUAAAUAGUACUUAUGAACUUCA